rnacentral:ncRNA from 1 species
GCUGAAUCCUUUGCAGACGACUUAAAUCGCGACGGGGUAUUGUAAGGGGUAGAGUGGCCUUGCUGCCGAUCCUCUGAGAUUCAGCCCUUUGUCGCUCCGAUUC